rnacentral:rRNA from 1 species
UACGUAGGUGGCAAGCGUUGUCCGGAUUUACUGGGCGUAAAGGGCGUGCAGGCGGUCUGUUAAGUGCAGGGUGAAAGCUCCCGGCUCAACUGGGAGAGGUCCUUGCAUACUGGCGGACUUGAGGGGGGUAGAGGAAAGUGGAAUUCCUGGUGUAGCGGUGAAAUGCGCAGAUAUCAGGAGGAACACCGAUGGCGAAGGCAGCUCGCUGGGACGGUACUGACGCUGAGGCGCGAAAGCGUGGGGAGCAAACAGG